rnacentral:lncRNA from 1 species
GGCGGAGCGCACGGGCACGAGCAGAUGAUUAAAGGCAGCAUUUCUCGGGGAGGAACUCCUUCGCCUUUGUUGCGGGCAAACUCUCAUGUCAAACUCGACCCAGUUAAUCAAAGGCUGCGACGCGCCGAGUGUCACAGGGACGAAUCGAGGUGUCGCUCUGCGACGCGCGACACUUUUUUCUUUGCUUUUGCCAGCCGAAGAAUCUCUGAUAAAUAAGACAGGGCGUUGUUGUGUUUCAGUACAGGCGCCGCGUCACCACGGAGCUCCCAGUACAGGGAGGUAAUCACAUUUAGGAGUCGUUUAGGUUUCUGGAUCAUUUCUAUUCUUCGGUGUUGUUUGCGCGGCCGUAAAGUGAAGUGAGCUCCAAGCACAGAGGGGGGGAUAAAUAACCGUCUCCUGACGCUGGAAAUUUUGCAUCUGUCUUUCUAAUUUCAGGCGCCUUUUUAUGGAACACAAACAGUGAUGUGUUGCCAGUUUAUAGGCCGGCCAUGAGGAUGUCCAGAGAGCUACAUCCUCUUUCCUGGCAAGGACACAAACACUUAUGAUGUAAAUUACUCCGACUUUGGUUUGCUUUAGAUGGCAGUACAUCUCAUUAAGAUGUCGGCUUUUCAUGAUUUGCGGACUUUUCAAGCGCUCGGGCUCAUUUUUUUGCGGCGCAAAUACUAAAUAAAGCUAAGUAGCCGCUUCAUCCCGGCCUGAAUUUGCAUUGCUGGACGCUGCUGGCAGCCUCGGUGGUUCGCAGCCGUCCGCGGGUUGAUUAAUGCGCCGGAGGAUUCACACAGCUGGAAAGGAGGCAGUAAACCAGAGGGGGGGCGACAAAGACGAGCGGGCCACACGAGGUGCAGCAAUUAAGCUGUUUUCUUGUUGUUAAUUAAAAGCAAAUUAGAGGGAGAUGCUAGUCUUAAUGACUGACAGAACGAAUGCCCAGAUCCACCUGUUGUUUCAUCCUCCCUCUUCUUUCCUUUUGCCUCUCCCAGGGACGCAGAGGGAAGACCGGGGAGCCCGGACCCAGAGGCCCACCGGGUGGGAUCGGAGCCGCCGUGGAAAAGGGGGAGAGGGGAGAUCCCGGUCAGCCGGGUGCUGCAGGUACCAGCGGAGUGAAAGGACAGAAAGGGGAUGUCGGCCCUCCCGGCCCUCCAG